rnacentral:rRNA from 1 species
GCCAACGUCCAUACCACGUUGAAUACACCGGUUCUCGUCCGAUCACCGAAGUUAAGC